rnacentral:tRNA from 1 species
GGAGGUAUAGCCCAGUGGUAGAGCUUGUGCUUAGCGUGCAUAAGGUCCUGGGUUCAAUCCCCAGUACCUCUA